rnacentral:rRNA from 1 species
GACGAACGCUGGCGGCGUGCUUAACACAUGCAAGUCGAACGGAAAGGCCCUGCUUUUGUGGGGUGCUCGAGUGGCGAACGGGUGAGUAACACGUGAGUAACCUGCCCUUGACUUUGGGAUAACUUCAGGAAACUGGGGCUAAUACCGGAUAGGAGCUCCUGCUGCAUGGUGGGGGUUGGAAAGUUUCGGCGGUUGGGGAUGGACUCGCGGCUUAUCAGCUUGUUGGUGGGGUAGUGGCUUACCAAGGCUUUGACGGGUAGCCGGCCUGAGAGGGUGACCGGCCACAUUGGGGCUGAGAUACGGCCCAGACUCCUACGGGAGGCAGCAGUGCGGAAUAUUGCACAAUGGGCUCAAGCCUGAUGCAGCAACGCCGCGUGCGGGAUGACGGCCUUCGGGUUGUAAACCGCAUGCGCCUGUGACGAAGCGUGAGUCAAGGUAAUGGGUAAAGAAGCACCGGCUAACUACGUG